CCACUGCUAUCGAGGUGGGACUAAGCCAUGCUAGUCGAACGAACAGAACUAUGUCUGUAAGUGGCAUACUGCUCAGUAACACGUAGCUAACCUACCCUUAGGACGUCGAUAACCCCGAGAAAUUGGGGCUAAUAGGCGAUAGGUGUGAUGUCCUGGAAUGGUAUCACGCCCAAAGGUAUCCCAUACAUGUUUGGUAUACACCUAAGGAUGGGGCUGCGGCCGAUCAGGCAGUUGGUGAGGUAAUGGCUCACCAAACCUUUGACCGGUACGGGCCAUGAGAGUGGUAGCCCGGAGAUGGACACUGAGACAAGGGUCCAGGCCCUACGGGGCGCAGCAGGCGCGAAACCUCCUCAAUGCACUAACGUGCGAAGGGGUUACCUCGAGUGCCACCUGAAGAAGGUGGCUUUUCCUUGGUCUAAAAAGCCUCGGGAAUAAGAGGGGGGCAAGACUGGUGUCAGCCGCCGCGGUAACACCAGCCCCUCGAGUGGUGGGGAUGAUUAUUUGGCCUAAAGCGUCCGUAGCCGGCCGGGUAAGUUUCCCGUUAAAUCCAACGUCUCAAGCGUUGGACUGCGGGAAAUACUGCCUGGCUAGAGAGUGGGAGAGGUCAGCGGUAUUCUGGGGGUAGGGGCGAAAUCCUUCGAUCCCCGGAGGACCACCAGUGGCGAAGGCUGCUGACUAGAACACGUCUGACGGUCAGGGACGAAAGCUGGGGUAGCGAACCGGAUUAGAUACCCGGGUAGUCCCAGCCGUAAACGAUGCAUGCUAGGUGU
rnacentral:rRNA from 1 species